CAAGGAACAAGCAGAAAGGCCAUGUACCCUGGCCUUUAGCUUUCAACAUAGGAAUUGCAAGAUUGAAGAUGCAAUCCAGAACUGUAUGGAGCCAAAUAACCCCCAGAAUUCAACUUAGCAGCCAGCACAUUGACAAGACCAAAGCGACUGCUUCUCACCCAGCACAUCCCCUUCCCCACCUGCCAGCACAAACACAUGGAUCUCUCUAUGGCGUUCUGACUGGAUUCAAAUUUGCAAUCUUCCUGUCUCAUCCUCCCAGGUUGGUGAUAAGGGUUGGAGGAUGCAGAGAGUGCGGUUUACUUUUUUCCAGAAACCUGUAGAAGAUGGUCUAGAUUUCACACCAGCUUUAAUAGAAAUAGCCAUUAAGUAAUCAAAAUAUGUUUCAAAUGUGUAUGCUAUUGUAUGCUUCUCAUUUAUAUGCAAAUGAGUGCUUUGCUUUUUUAAAUGUCUUAUCACAUUUAUUUAUUGUGGUGGAGGUGGCUUGCAUGUGCCAUUAUGUGAGUGUUGAGAUCAGAGAAUAAAUUGUAGAAGUCAGUUCUCUCCUCCCACUAUGUGGUCCCCAGGAUUGCACUCAGGUCAUCUGGCUUGGCGCCAAGUGCCUUUACCUGCUGAGCCAUCUCCCCAGCCCCUCCCUACUUGAUUAUUUAAUCAAGACUAUAUCUACCAU
rnacentral:lncRNA from 1 species